GGCUACACACGUGCUACAAUGGGUAGUACAGAGAGUCGCAAAGCCGUGAGGUGGAGCUAAUCGCAGAAAACUAUUCUUAGUUCGGAUUGUACUCUGCAACUCGAGUACAUGAAGUUGGAAUCGCUAGUAAUCGCGAAUCAGCAAUGUCGCGGUGAAUACGUUCUCGGGUCUUGUACACACCGCCCGUCACACCACGAGAGUUGGUUGCACCUGAAGUAGCAGGCCUAACCGCAAGGAGGGAUGCUCCGAGGGUGUGAUUAGCGAUUGGGGUGAAGUCGUAACAAGGUAUCCGUACGGGAACGU
rnacentral:rRNA from 1 species